UACGAAGGGGGCUAGCGUUGUUCGGAAUCACUGGGCGUAAAGCGUACGUAGGCGGCCACACAAGCCAGAGGUGAAAUCCCGGGGCUCAACCCCGGAACUGCCUUUGGAACUGUUUGGCUGGAGACUCGGAGGGGAUGGCGGAAUUCCUAGUGUAGAGGUGAAAUUCGUAGAUACUAGGAGGAACACCGGUGGCGAAGGCGGCCAUCUGGACGAGUACUGACGCUGAUGUACGAAAGCGUGGGGAGCAAACAGG
rnacentral:rRNA from 1 species